rnacentral:rRNA from 1 species
UACAGAGACUGCAAGCGUUAUUCGGAUUCACUGGGCGUAAAGGGUGCGCAGGCGGUUGGUCAAGACGGAUGUGAAAGCCCCGGGCUUAACCUGGGAGUGUCAUUCGUGACUGACGAACUAGAAUAUGGCAGAGGGAGGCGGAAUUCCACAUGUAGCAGUGAAAUGCGUAGAGAUGUGGAGGAACACCGAUGGCGAAGGCAGCCUUCUGGGCUAAUAUUGACGCUCAGGCACGAAAGCGUGGGGAGCAAACAGG